CGAGGGAUGCAAGCGUUAUCCGGAAUUAUUGGGCGUAAAGCGUUUGUAGGCGGGCGAGUGUGUUUAAUGUUAAAUCUUAAAGCUCAACUUUGAAAUUGCGUUAAAAACUGCUUGUCUUGAGUAUGGUAGGGGUAAAGGGAAUUCCCAGUGUAGCGGUGAAAUGCGUAGAUAUUGGGAAGAACACUAAACAGCGAAGGCACUUUACUAGGCUAAUACUGACGCUGAGAAACGAAAGGUAAGGUAGCGAAACGGAUUAGAUACCCGUGUAGUCUUACCCGUAAACUAUGGACACUAAACGGUAAAUUUUUAAUUUACUGUUAAAGCUAACGCGUUAAGUGUCCCGCCUGGGGAGUAUGCUUGCAAAAGUGAAACUCAAAGGAAUUGACGGGGGCCCGCACAAGCGGUGGAGCAUGUGGUUUAAUUCGACGGUACACGAAGAACCUUACCAGGAUUUGACAUGCUAGAUAGUUGCUUGAAAGAGUAACGUGCCGUAAGGAAUCUAGACACAGGUGGUGCAUGGCUGUCGUCAGUUCGUGUUGUGAAAUGUUGGGUUAAGUCCCGCAACGAACGCAACCCUUGUCUUUAGUUAUUUUCUAAAGAGACUGCCUGUAAUAAACAGGAGGAAGGUAAGGAUGAGGUCAAGUCAUCAUGCCCCUUAUGUCCUGGGCUACACACGUGCUACAAUGGGAAAGACAAUGAGCUGCAAAUCUGUAAAUUUAAGCAAAUCUCUUAAACUUUCUCGUAGUUCGGAUUGUGGGCUGCAACUCGCCCACAUGAAGUUGGAAUCGCUAGUAAUCGCCAGUCAGCUAUAUGGCGGUGAAUCCGUUCCCGGGCCU
rnacentral:rRNA from 1 species